AAAGAAUUCAUUUCACUGCCUUUUACAUUUACAGGAAAACCUAAUAAUUACAUACAAUAAUCUGCAUGUAAAAAAUUGUCAGUAGAUUGCAACGCUAAUUGCGAUGGAUUGCGAAGCAGUUGCAAUGGCCACAGCUCCAAAAAAAGCAAUGCUCCGAAGAUAGCCUGUUGCAGCGCUCCAGCCGGCAGGCCGCCGUAGGCCACCGUGAGCCUGUAUCCGCCACAACCGCUGCUGAUUGGAUAGCGUCUCCCACCGCCGAGGAUCAGAAGAAAAAGACGUCCUCCUCCACCGUGCCAACCUUGACCCUUCUUCUAACGCCAUAGCUUAAGGUCUUAGCCGCUCUCGUUUUU
rnacentral:lncRNA from 1 species